GGGGAAUUGUUCACAAUGGGCGCAAGCCUGAUGACGCAACGCCGCGUGGAGGAUGAAGGUCUUCGGAUUGUAAACUCCUGUUGCCCGGGACGAAUGGCUCCGACCUAAUACGUCGGAGUGUGACGGUACCGGGUGAGGAAGCCCCGGCUAACUCUGUGCCAGCAGCCGCGGUAAUACGGAGGGUGCAAGCGUUAUCCGGAUUCACUGGGUUUAAAGGGUGCGUAGGCGGGCAGGUAAGUCAGUGGUGAAAUCUCCGGGCUUAACUCGGAAACUGCCGUUGAUACUAUCUGUCUUGAAUUCUGUGGAGGUGAGCGGAAUAUGUCAUGUAGCGGUGAAAUGCUUAGAUAUGACAUAGAACACCAAUUGCGAAGGCAGCUCACUACACAGCGAUUGACGCUGAGGCACGAAAGCGUGGGGAUCAAA
rnacentral:rRNA from 1 species